UACGGAGGGUGCAAGCGUUGUUCGGAAUCAUUGGGCGUAAAGCGCGUGUAGGCGGCUUGGCAAGUCAGUUGUGAAAGCCCGGGGCCCAACCCCGGAACUGCAUCUGAAACUGCUUGGCUGGAGUCCCGGAGAGGAAGGUAGAAUUCCCGGUGUAGGGGUGAAAUCCGUAGAUAUCGGGAGGAAUACCAGCGGCGAAGGCGGCCUUCUGGACGGUGACUGACGCUGAGACGCGAAAGCGUGGGGAGCAAACGGGG
rnacentral:rRNA from 1 species